CUACCUAGUGGCUUAACCUACUACUGAAGGUCAGGAGAAUAUCAUUCAUCUUCCACAAUGCUCAUACAUCACCAGCUACACUUCUGGAGUUAUCAUGGAAUGUGAAACUGUGAGAACAUCCCAAGCAGGUAGAACUUAAUCCUCAGGCACAGCCUGCCUGAAAAGUUGGAGAUCAUAGAGACAAGAUGAGAUUCGGAUGCAGAGUCAAAACAAACACUUUUUGUAGUUGCCUUUAAAUCAACUCUGGAAAUCAUCAAACUUACAGUCCUGGAGCAAAAUCCCGAUCCUUGUCAGCUAUGGCUGCAACUCUACAGAGAAUGAGGGGCAACAAAGGUUAGUUCAGCUCUGAAGGAGUAAAGGCACUACUUGAUUU
rnacentral:lncRNA from 1 species